GGCGAGUGAGCGGCAAAAGCUCAAAUUUGAAAUCUGGCACCUUCGGUGUCCGAGUUGUAAUUUGAAGAAGGUAACUUUGGAGUUGGCUCUUGUCUAUGUUCCUUGGAACAGGACGUCACAGAGGGUGAGAAUCCCGUGCGAUGAGAUGCCCAAUUCUAUGUAAAGUGCUUUCGAAGAGUCGAGUUGUUUGGGAAUGCAGCUCUAAGUGGGUGGUAAAUUCCAUCUAAAGCUAAAUAUUGGCGAGAGACCGAUAGCGAACAAGUACAGUGAUGGAAAGAUGAAAAGAACUUUGAAAAGAGAGUGAAAAAGUACGUGAAAUUGUUGAAAGGGAAGGGCUUGAGAUCAGACUUGGUAUUUUGCGAUCCUUUCCUUCUUGGUUGGGUUCCUCGCAGCUUACUGGGCCAGCAUCGGUUUGGAUGGUAGGAUAAUGACUAAGGAAUGUGGCUCUACUUCGGUGGAGUGUUAUAGCCUUGGUUGAUACUGCCUGUCUAGACCGAGGACUGCGUCUUUUGACUAGGAUGUUGGCAUAAUGAUCUUAAGCCACCCGUCUUG
rnacentral:rRNA from 1 species